rnacentral:lncRNA from 7 species
AGCUGGAGCUAAGCAAAGCAGGGCAGCCAGCAGGACCUGAAAAGGUUUCAAAGUCUGCUCGGAACAAAAAGCUGAGUGUCUCGUUUUGUUGUUUUCGCAGGAGAAAAAGAGAGCGGCCGCACUGAGAGAAAGCCGAGAGCUCUUUUGUUCGUCCCCGAGCCAUCCCGGGAAUGGGCUGAAUUUGUUGUUUCAACGUUUUCUCAUCCAUCUGUUGGAAAAUGGGUGAGCUGGUCCCUGAUGGGCUGAGAGAUGGCCCUGUCCUGGGAAUUCCCUACCAGCUGUGUUCCGUGGGAAACUCGGACGUACUGCAGCAUCUCAACACAGCACGACUGGUCUGGACCAGCGAGGACAAAGCUGGGAAGCAGCCAGCAGCCCUUCAGGAGUUGGGAGAGGACAACAGCAGGGCAGGAUAGCAAACUGGGGACCUUGCAUCGUGCCCCAUGCGCUGCCUCCCUACCUGAUCCCUGCCACUGCUCCCAGUGCCACCACCUGCAACAGCUGCGGGGCUGGGAAACUCCACUUGCCCGGAGCCUGAUAAAUUAUACCUUAGUCCUGAAGGGGCUCGGGCUGUUUUUUUUUUUGCAAACACAUGCAGCACAAAAGCUGCCUUUCUCCCUCUCAUUUGACUUUGUUUUCUCUCCCUCCUCAUCUGCUUUCAGCCAAAUGGGUGAAUAGCUUCAGUAUAUACAGCAGGAGGAUAAAGCCAAGGCUGGAGCAGUGGGAAGGAUGCAGAACAGCAGUGCCCUGUGCCCGCUGCCUUCCGGAGGGGUGGGCACUGUUUGCCACCCUCGCUCUGUAACGCAGCCUCCAUCGCCUCGCUGAACCCUUUGAGACAGCAGCACUGAAAGAAAAUAUUUGUGCUCUGGCUAGCACAUGUGCACGCUUCCUGCUCUUGAAAUCCCUAAUUAAGCUUGUUUUUUAUUUUUUUUUUCUUGUUGUUUAGAAAAUCCCUCUCUUUUGGGACAGGGAUGUUUUCUUCUAAGCCAUCAGGGAUCACCGUGUGCAGGAACGGAGGGGGAUGUCCCAUCCCUUGUCUGCUUUCUGCAGCCUCUGGGGUUAUUUUGGAGAUUCUCUCAUUUACUGGGUGGUUCAGCUGAGUCCAACCUCUCCUUGGGCUAAAAUCAUAUCCUGUCAGUCAGCUGGUAAUUAGAAAGCACCAAAAAGCCAGUGGUGCUUAAGGCAGUGCUGGGGUAACCAAGGCAGUUUCUACUUCUGUGGAUAAAGGACCGAGUUUGGAAGCUGUAGAUGUUUCCACUGAAAUCAGAUUUUGGUUUAAAAAGGGGAAGGAAGGUAACAUGGGGUGAAAAAUGCCUCCCAGGAGCGCAGCAGCACUACAGCACUGCUGCAGCCUGUGGGUUCACCCAGCUCUUACUGGUGCUGCGCUUAGAGAUGGCCCCUGCAUACCUAAGCGAGGUGACACAGAGUGUUAUCACCCAUCUCUGGCUGCAUGCUUGUGGCCUUGGAGAUGCACACUGCACUCCCUGGAGGUAGGACACCAGCAGGUAGUCUUUCUGCAGACACCUUAUCUUAUCCCAGUGAGACAAAGGAAGGCAGAGAGCAUUCUGCAGACUGCCCAGCCUGGCUGAAACACUCUGUUCCCUGAUAAGCUUGCAAGGUUGAUGGGGUAACACAGGAGAUGCUAUCCUGCUGGGCUGUGAUGGAGAAAACAAGCAGCCCUGGUCUAAUAGGAAUCACUGUUGUUCGGUGUUCUCCCUAAUGUGCCUGUUAGGAACAGGAUCGGUGCAGCAAGGACAGCAAACAUCAUGAGGCACACAUACACAGAGUCUCCAUAGGAAAGCAAGGAUACCCUCGCGGAGGUCUGGGAGGCUGCAGUCCUGCAGAUGGAUGCUGAAGCUGCAGGCAUCCUGGAGGAGCCUCCCAGCUGGUGGAGGGCAGAAACCUCUGCUUGUCUGGCUCAGAGAUAAGCAGGCUUCAAGCAAAACAGCGGGGAGGAUAAGCCAGGGGAGCAUGGACAGAGUAAGCUGCAGCCCAGACAUCAAGGACGAGCAGCCUGGUUUCCAGCAAGCCAGACUGGGAGUUACUCCCCUGUGUGCACAAGGACGGCUGUCUCCAGGCUCAGCAGUGCCACAGUGUGCCACUCAGCUCUGCACCAAGCUAAUGGCACACACCCUGACCCUGCACAUGACCAUCAGAGCAGAGCUGCUGGGCAUGCAGCUGCCAGUAAUGGGCUGGCUGUGUCUGGGAGGAAGCUGAAAGCAGUAAUUAGCUAAUAUUGGCAAAAAUAUCAGCUCAGAAAAUGCAAGAAAAUGAUGCAACGAUGUUACCUUUAUCACUGAGCUUUUCUUAUAUUAAAAAAGUAAUAAAA